rnacentral:rRNA from 1 species
UGGUCAAGUUAUUAAGGGUGCAGGGCGGAUGCCUUGGCACUAGGAGCCGAUGAAGGACGUGAUAAGCUGCGAUAAGCUUCGGGGAGUUGCACGUAAACGUUGAUCCGAAGAUUUCCGAAUGAGGAAACUCACUUAGAGUAAUGUCUAAGUAUCAUUAAGUGAAUACAUAGCUUAAGGAGGGGAACUCAGGGAACUGAAACAUCUAAGUACCUGAAGGAAGAGAAAGAAAUUCGAUUCCGUAAGUAGCGGCGAGCGAACGCGGAUUAGCCCAAACCAAUAAAGUUUUCUUUAUUGGGGUUGCGGACAUAUCAUAACGAAGAGGUAUCGUAAUUGAAGAGGUUUGGAAAGACCCACCACAGAAGGUAAUAGUCCUGUAUGUUAAACGAGAAGACUU